GACGAACGCUGGCGGCGUGCUUAACACAUGCAAGUCGAACGGAAAGGCCCUGCUUUUGUGGGGUGCUCGAGUGGCGAACGGGUGAGUAACACGUGAGUAACCUGCCCUUGACUUUGGGAUAACUUCAGGAAACUGGGGCUAAUACCGGAUAGGAGCUCCUGCUGCAUGGUGGGGGUUGGAAAGUUUCGGCGGUUGGGGAUGGACUCGCGGCUUAUCAGCUUGUUGGUGGGGUAGUGGCUUACCAAGGCUUUGACGGGUAGCCGGCCUGAGAGGGUGACCGGCCACAUUGGGCCUGAGAUACGGCCCAGACUGCUAUGGGAGGCAGCAGUGGGGAAUAUUGCACAAUGGGCGGACGCCUGAUGCAGCAACGCCGCGUGCGGGAUGACGGCCUUCGGGUUGUAAACCGCUUUCGCCUGUGCCGAAGCGUGCGUGACGGUAAUGGGUAAAGAAGCACCGGCUAACUACGUG
rnacentral:rRNA from 1 species